CCCCCGGCUCAACCGGGGAGGGUCAUUGGAAACUGGGGAACUUGAGUGCAGAAGAGGAGAGUGGAAUUCCACGUGUAGCGGUGAAAUGCGUAGAGAUGUGGAGGAACACCAGUGGCGAAGGCGACUCUCUGGUCUGUAACUGACGCUGAGGCGCGAAAGCGUGGGGAGCGAACAGGAUUAGAUACCCUGGUAGUCCACGCCGUAAACGAUGAGUGCUAAGUGUUAGAGGGUUUCCGCCCUUUAGUGCUGCAGCAAACGCAUUAAGCACUCCGCCUGGGGAGUACGGUCGCAAGACUGAAACUCAAAGGAAUUGACGGGGGCCCGCACAAGCGGUGGAGCAUGUGGUUUAAUUCGAAGCAACGCGAAGAACCUUACCAGGUCUUGACAUCCUCUGACAACCCUAGAGAUAGGGCUUCCCCUUCGGGGGCAGAGUGACAGGUGGUGCAUGGUUGUCGUCAGCUCGUGUCGUGAGAUGUUGGGUUAAGUCCCGCAACGAGCGCAACCCUUGAUCUUAGUUGCCAGCAUUCAGUUGGGCACUCUAAGGUGACUGCCGGUGACAAACCGGAGGAAGGUGGGGAUGACGUCAAAUCAUCAUGCCCCUUAUGACCUGGGCUACACACGUGCUACAAUGGGCAGAACAAAGGGCAGCGAAGCCGCGAGGCUAAGCCAAUCCCACAAAUCUGUUCUCAGUUCGGAUCGCAGUCUGCAACUCGACUGCGUGAAGCUGGAAUCGCUAGUAAUCGCGGAUCAGCAUGCCGCGGCGAAUACGUC
rnacentral:rRNA from 2 species